UGCCUCAGUAACUGCGAGUGAAGCGGCAAAAGCUCAAAUUUGAAAUCUGACGUCUUUGACGUUCGAGUUGUAAUUUGGAGGGGCACUUUCGGAGCUGGCGCCGUUCUAAGUUCCUUGGAACAGGACGUCGUAGAGGGUGAGAAUCCCGUGCCUGGAUGGCUGGCCAGUUCCAUGUGAGGUGUCUCCGACGAGUCGAGUUGUUUGGGAAUGCAGCUCAAAAUGGGUGGUAAAUUUCAUCUAAAGCUAAAUACUGGCGAGAGACCGAUAGCGCACAAGUAGAGUGAUCGAAAGAUGAAAAGCACUUUGAAAAGAGAGUUAAAAAGUACGUGAAAUUGUUGAAAGGGAAGCGCUUGAGACCAGACUCAACCUUUGGUGAUCAACUGUGCUUUUGUGCAGUGCACUUGCUGGGGGUUGGGCCAGCAUCGGUUUUGACGGUGGGAUAAAGGUUUGAGGAAUGUGGCUCCCUGAUACCGGGGAGUGUUAUAGCCUCGGGCGCAAUGCCACCAGUUGGGACCGAGGACCGCGCUUCUGCUAGGAUGCUGGCGCAAUGGUCUUAAGCGGCCCGUCUUGAAACACGGACCAAGGAGUCUAACAUCUAUGCGAGUGUUCGGGUGGAAAACCCUUGCGCGAAAUGAAAGUGAACGGAGGUGGGAACCCCUUGGGGUGCACCAUCGACCGAUCCUGAUGUCUUCGGAAGGAUUUGAGUAGGAGCAUAGCUGUUGGGACCCGAAAGAUGGUGAACUAUGCCUGAAUAGGGUGAAGCCAGAGGAAACUCUGGUGGAGGCUCGCAGCGGUUCUGACGUGCAAAUCGAUCGUCAAAUUUGGGUAUAGGGG
rnacentral:rRNA from 1 species